CACAGUACAAGAUAGUGCCAGUGAUGUGCUGUGAAGCUACCUUGCUUCGCAUCCGGCAAGCGUCCUUCCUCUGGACAAACCGAAGAAUCCUGGUUUGAAAAACGAAAAACUAGAUAAGAAACCCUGACUUGGUAUACUCCCUUUCCAUGAUUAGCUUUGCUAGUCUCAUGUACUGACUCACCUUCCUGCCAGGAACGAAAUCGAUGGAUGGUCCACCAGUAACUUCGACGGCAACAACUCCGGCGAGCUGGUCGACCAAACAGAGGAAGCAGGACUGGGGUGUCAAAACUUGUUCCAUUUGAUGAGAGAAGUUUCCAGAACAACAGGUGGCUAUCAGGUGCAAGGUGGUGUAUCUGACGGAAGAAAUACUGACCUAGAAGGUCAAUGGCAAUCUUGAUCCCUGCAUUAGCGCUGUGGCUGUGCUCCUGUGGGAACCGGAUGGAUCCGUUGGGGCCUCCGGUCUUGGUCUUGGCGUCGUAAGUGCCAGCGUCAUGCCAUCUGCAAGGUCGAUCGCCAUUGGAGGGUUUGCAAGAAAAUGUAAGGAAACAAGUACAGGACAGCAGUCCAAAGAUGGGCACAUGGGUAUGAACGGAAGAGGCUGAGAACGUACGCGAGGCGGAGCAUGAUGGGUGCGCAGUUCUUGCUGGCGAUGAGGGCACGGAGGUCCCGCCGCGCCCUCUCGAUCUCUGCCAUGUACUCUGCGUCCACCACGGGUGCUACCUCUGACAUUGCUGCUGAACUGGAAGCAGAAAAACUGAAGAAGAAACUGUUGUCCAGGAAACAGGGGACCUCUGCUCUGGUUUGGACUUUUGGAGCAGGGGAUAGAGAAGCAGGGGAGCUGUGGUUUUGUAGGGAAGGGAGGGAGGGAGAAAAGGGAGGGAAAAGAGGAAUCGAAUGGAGUGGAGGCGUGGAGAAAGCAAGGGAUGUCUCCAGAGGAGAGCAACGUGUUUUUGGAGGGGAGGAUCGAGGUUGAAUCGAUUUCAUUGGAUUCUUGCAGAGCUUUCUACCACUUUAACCCCUUCUCAUCUGAUGGGUCAUUGUCAAAUCACCUGCUGUAAAAUCAGCGACAGGUAAAGACUUUACCAGCUCAAAAAUAGGAUGCACGUUGAAAAUUUGUGACUUCAUUAUAACUCGUCGAUAGGUUUAAUAAUUAUUAUUCUUCA